GACGAACGCUGGCGGCGUGCCUAAUACAUGCAAGUCGAACGAACUCUGGUAUUGAUUGGUGCUUGCAUCAUGAUUUACAUUUGAGUGAGUGGCGAACUGGUGAGUAACACGUGGGAAACCUGCCCAGAAGCGGGGGAUAACACCUGGAAACAGAUGCUAAUACCGCAUAACAACUUGGACCGCAUGGUCCGAGUUUGAAAGAUGGCUUCGGCUAUCACUUUUGGAUGGUCCCGCGGCGUAUUAGCUAGAUGGUGAGGUAACGGCUCACCAUGGCAAUGAUACGUAGCCGACCUGAGAGGGUAAUCGGCCACAUUGGGACUGAGACACGGCCCAAACUCCUACGGGAGGCAGCAGUAGGGAAUCUUCCACAAUGGACGAAAGUCUGAUGGAGCAACGCCGCGUGAGUGAAGAAGGGUUUCGGUUCGUAAAACUCUGUUGUUAAAGAAGAACAUAUCUGAGAGUAACUGUUCAGGUAUUGACGGUAUUUAACCAGAAAGCCACGGCUAACUACGUGCCAGCAGCCGCGGUAAUACGUAGGUGGCAAGCGUUGUCCGGAUUUAUUGGGCGUAAAGCGAGCGCAGGCGGUUUUUUAAGUCUGAUGUGAAAGCCUUCGGCUCAACCGAAGAAGUGCAUCGGAAACUGGGAAACUUGAGUGCAGAAGAGGACAGUGGAACUCCAUGUGUAGCGGUGAAAUGCGUAGAUAUAUGGAAGAACACCAGUGGCGAAGGCGGCUGUCUGGUCUGUAACUGACGCUGAGGCUCGAAAGUAUGGGUAGCAAACAGGAUUAGAUACCCUGGUAGUCCAUACCGUAAACGAUGAAUGCUAAGUGUUGGAGGGUUUCCGCCCUUCAGUGCUGCAGCUAACGCAUUAAGCAUUCCGCCUGGGGAGUACGGCCGCAAGGCUGAAACUCAAAGGAAUUGACGGGGGCCCGCACAAGCGGUGGAGCAUGUGGUUUAAUUCGAAGCUACGCGAAGAACCUUACCAGGUCUUGACAUACUAUGCAAAUCUAAGAGAUUAGACGUUCCCUUCGGGGACAUGGAUACAGGUGGUGCAUGGUUGUCGUCAGCUCGUGUCGUGAGAUGUUGGGUUAAGUCCCGCAACGAGCGCAACCCUUAUUAUCAGUUGCCAGCAUUAAGUUGGGCACUCUGGUGAGACUGCCGGUGACAAACCGGAGGAAGGUGGGGAUGACGUCAAAUCAUCAUGCCCCUUAUGACCUGGGCUACACACGUGCUACAAUGGAUGGUACAACGAGUUGCGAACUCGCGAGAGUAAGCUAAUCUCUUAAAGCCAUUCUCAGUUCGGAUUGUAGGCUGCAACUCGCCUACAUGAAGUCGGAAUCGCUAGUAAUCGCGGAUCAGCAUGCCGCGGUGAAUACGUUCCCGGGCCUUGUACACACCGCCCGUCACACCAUGAGAGUUUGUAACACCCAAAGUCGGUGGGGUAACCUUUUAGGAACCAGCCGCCUAAGGUGGGACAGAUGAUUAGGGCG
rnacentral:rRNA from 1 species